CAGUUUUCGACUGCACGGUGUCACCGGUAUUUGUCCCCGGCUUCAUUAUAGCGAUCGCUCUGGAGCACUGCAUUUCUUUCUCCACUCGAAAGCUCUUCUGUCAUAAUCCUCUGACAAUCCCCCUUGUUCGGGGAGUGAGAUAUUAUCUGGUCAAGUUUUAUACAUUUAACAUUCAUUUUACAUGUGAGUAGAAUAACUAACUGCUUUUCCGUGCUCCUUUCUUUGUAGGAAGAAGCAGAAGUUUUAACCAUCUUCCCAUGGCAUCUGACUUUUUUGAAGAGGAGGACUUUUCAACCACUUGCUGGAAGGGAAAUAGUUUGUUUCAAGACUCUUAUGUUGUUCAUCAGUGCUGUUAACAAACGUGGGGCUUGAGGAUACAUUUGCUGCUUCUCUGCAUUUUUGCUGAAGGUCCGUGCAUUUGAAGGAAGGACCUUGCUGUCUCCCAGCUCCUGUGGGCAUUAGGUUUCAUGAAUGUCUCUUGGGAAGAGGACAGCUCUGUAGAGCCUAAGUUUCAAAAGUAAUUUUAAAGAUUGCAUCCAAGAGAGAAGCAGUGAGAUGCACAGUGGGGAAAAUGAACCCAGCAGUCCAUCCUAUCCUGUACCUGCCUGAAUAUGGGAAGUGACCCAGUAGAAAGCCAGAAUGCAGCUGGGCUUGCAGUAUUUUUAACCAUAUUAAGUCCUGUUCAGAGUUAAUGAUGAGCUCAGUGAGAUGGUCUCAGCAAUGCUGAAGAAGGGAAGGACAGAAUUGGAAGGCAGGAGCUAUUUCAAAGCAGCAUUCUUCAUCUUUCUGUAAUGCCCAAACAUGAAGACUUUAUAAACUUCAUUAGUGUCAUUCCCAAAAUGAAGUAGUGUCCUUGGGCUGGUGGCAACAGCUGGAGUUGCAGAAUUCAUAAAUAAUUCAGAGAAGGAUAAAGGGUCCUGCCAUCAAUGACUGAGCCUCCCUGAAAUCUUAUCAGCUGCUGCCAAGAUGAGAAGGAUAACAGGAAGGAGGAGUGCUUAAGUGGCUUUAAUGACAAUUAAUUUCUACUGUUUAUCAAAUGACAGGUUGUUUUUUCCGCAAAACUUGAUUGUCAUAAGAUGCUUUUGGAAGUAAUUUUUGUAAAAUAAAAUGACAGUUUUUAAGCUGCAAAGAGCUAUUGUAUCUUACUAUUGAAUGUUGUCAUUAUGGUAAAAGGCUGGAAAGUCUAUUUUUGAAGUAAUUUAACUUGCAUACUUCAUUCAUUUAUUUUAAUAUCUGUUGAAUGCCAUGUGAAAAGUUUCUUGCUGGAAUUCUUUUAUUCAAUGGAAUACUUAUUGUUACAAUGCUCAAUUUAUUAAUGUCUGAAUUAUUGUUGCCCUAGCCUCCUGCAAAAAGUUUCUUUUUAGUAAUUCUUAAACAAAUAAGGAAUGAAUGAGGUUUUGUCCAUUUUGUGUUUUGAUCAGCAUAUUUUCCCUUUCACUGAAAGUGUCUUCACUUUUUGGAAUGACACAACAAAAAGAAAAGUGUUUUGGUUUUUGGGUUGUUUUUUUCCCAACAGCACAUGUCUUUUGUGCAAUGAUUUUUUAAUAUAUACACUGCCAAAAUACAAUUACUGGAAGGAGAGAGAGAAGCUGUUGGGAAUGUCAUGUUAUGCCAAAUUAAGAAUUAUUAGCUCUUACUUUCUGUGCAAUCUCUUCGACUAGAACUCGACCUAUUGCGUCUGGCGCGUACUUUGACUCUAGUGGAACUAAUGUGUCCUUGGAGUAGCAUUUCAGAGUAACUUCAGAUUCAUGCUUUUUCACAAGUCUGCUUUAAACUGGUGGGAUUAACUUCAGAGAAGGCGAGAGAUACAGGCUCCUUUGUCAGCAGCUGUGCUGGGUAAAGAGAGAGGCUUCGUGCACGCUUGCUUGCUCAUUCUCUCCCUGCUAGGGAAGCAGACUGAGCUGUUUCCCUGAGCACAUGCAGACUGACUUCAGCCAAAGUGAAUCCUGUUAUCAAAUAUUAGUUAUCAGUGCCCUGGGUCAGUGUGAUGAAAGGACAGGGCAUGCACAGACCAGCUGUGCAGACGUCAUGUCUGGGAAGGGGGCUGUGUUGACAAGAGUUGCUGAGGGCUGGCCCUGCUGUGUCGCCUUUGCAGCAGGUGCAGUUGCAUCUCUUGGAUGUGGUAAAAAUUGGACGUGUUAGAAAGCUGUGCAGAUCUGUCACACAUAAUAUUCACAUUCCGGGGACACCCUGGCUAAUGCAGAAUAAACCUGUGCUCUUUGACUUA